AUUGAACGCUGGCGGCAGGCCUAACACAUGCACGUCGAGCGGAGCGGCGGACGGGUGAGUAAUGCCAAGGAAUCUGCCUGGUAGUGGGGGAUAACGUCCGGACACGGGCGCUAAUACCGCAUACUAUCAGAUGAGCCUAGGUCGGAUUAGCUAGUUGGUGGGGUAAAGGCCUACCAGGGCGACGAUCCGUAACUGGUCUGAGAGGAUGAUCAGUCAAAGUGUAAAUGUGACACGGUCCAGACUCCUACGGUAGGCAGCGUUGGGGAAUAGUGUACAAUGGGCGAAAGCCUGAUCCAGCCAUGCCGCGGGUGUGAAGAAGGUCGUCGGAUUGUAAAGCACUUUAAGUUGUGAGGCGUUACCAACAGAAUAAGCACCGGCUAACUUCGUGCCAGCAGCCGCGGUAAUAC
rnacentral:rRNA from 1 species